rnacentral:rRNA from 1 species
UACGAAGGGGGCGAGCGUUGUUCGGAAUUACUGGGCGUAAAGAGCGCGUAGGCGGUCUAUUAAGUCAGGCGUGAAAGUCCCGGGCUCAACCUGGGAAUUGCGUUUGAUACUGGUAGGCUUGAGAUUCAGAGAGGUGAGUGGAAUUCCUAGUGUAGCAGUGAAAUGCGUAGAUAUUAGGAGGAACAUCAGUGGCGAAGGCGGCUCACUGGCUGAAUACUGACGCUAAGGCGCGAAAGCGUGGGGAGCAAACAGG